UUGAACGCUGGCGGCAGGCCUAACACAUGCAAGUCGAGCGGUAGCACAGAGAGCUUGCUCUCGGGUGACGAGCGGCGGACGGGUGAGUAAUGUCUGGGAAACUGCCUGAUGGAGGGGGAUAACUACUGGAAACGGUAGCUAAUACCGCAUAAUGUCGCAAGACCAAAGUGGGGGACCUUCGGGCCUCAUGCCAUCAGAUGUGCCCAGAUGGGAUUAGCUAGUAGGUGGGGUAACGGCUCACCUAGGCGACGAUCCCUAGCUGGUCUGAGAGGAUGACCAGCCACACUGGAACUGAGACACGGUCCAGACUCCUACGGGAGGCAGCAGUGGGGAAUAUUGCACAAUGGGCGCAAGCCUGAUGCAGCCAUGCCGCGUGUGUGAAGAAGGCCUUCGGGUUGUAAAGCACUUUCAGCGGGGAGGAAGGCGGUGAGGUUAAUAACCUCAUCGAUUGACGUUACCCGCAGAAGAAGCACCGGCUAACUCCGUGCCAGCAGCCGCGGUAAUACGGAGGGUGCAAGCGUUAAUCGGAAUUACUGGGCGUAAAGCGCACGCAGGCGGUCUGUCAAGUCGGAUGUGAAAUCCCCGGGCUCAACCUGGGAACUGCAUUCGAAACUGGCAGGCUAGAGUCUUGUAGAGGGGGGUAGAAUUCCAGGUGUAGCGGUGAAAUGCGUAGAGAUCUGGAGGAAUACCGGUGGCGAAGGCGGCCCCCUGGACAAAGACUGACGCUCAGGUGCGAAAGCGUGGGGAGCAAACAGGAUUAGAUACCCUGGUAGUCCACGCCGUAAACGAUGUCGAUUUGGAGGUUGUGCCCUUGAGGCGUGGCUUCCGGAGCUAACGCGUUAAAUCGACCGCCUGGGGAGUACGGCCGCAAGGUUAAAACUCAAAUGAAUUGACGGGGCCCGCACAAGCGGUGGAGCAUGUGGUUCAAUUCGAUGCAACGAGGAGAACCUUACCUGGUCUUGACAUCCACAGAACUUUCCAGAGAUGGAUUGGUGCCUUCGGGAACUGUGAGACAGGUGCUGCAUGGCUGUCGUCAGCUCGUGUUGUGAAAUGUUGGGUUAAGUCCCGCAACGAGCGCAACCCUUAUCCUUUGUUGCCAGCGGUUAGGCCGGGAACUCAAAGGAGACUGCCAGUGAUAAACUGGAGGAAGGUGGGGAUGACGUCAAGUCAUCAUGGCCCUUACGACCAGGGCUACACACGUGCUACAAUGGCAUAUACAAAGAGAAGCGACCUCGCGAGAGCAAGCGGACCUCAUAAAGUAUGUCGUAGUCCGGAUUGGAGUCUGCAACUCGACUCCAUGAAGUCGGAAUCGCUAGUAAUCGUAGAUCAGAAUGCUACGGUGAAUACGUUCCCGGGCCUUGUACACACCGCCCGUCACACCAUGGGAGUGGGUUGCAAAAGAAGUAGGUAGCUUAACCUUCGGGAGGGCGCUUACCACUUUGUGAUUCAUGACUGGGGUG
rnacentral:rRNA from 1 species